UGAUCAAGGUGUGACUAUAAAGUAAUGAGAUUGAUUUCUGUGGUAUAGUAAAUGGAAAUCAGUUUCAUUACCUUACAGUCACAUCUAAUCUUCUA
rnacentral:pre_miRNA from 15 species